CCCCUACUCCUACGGGAGGCAGCAGUGGGGAAUAUUGCACAAUGGGCGAAAGCCUGAUGCAGCGACGCCGCGUGAGGGAUGACGGCCUUCGGGUUGUAAACCUCUUUCAGCAGGGAAGAAGCGAAAGUGACGGUACCUGCAGAAGAAGCGCCGGCUAACUACGUGCCAGCAGCCGCGGUAAUACGUAGGGCGCGAGCGUUGUCCGGAAUUAUUGGGCGUAAAGAGCUCGUAGGCGGCUUGUCACGUCGGUUGUGAAAGCCCGGGGCUUAACCCCGGGUCUGCAGUCGAUACGGGCAGGCUAGAGUUCGGUAGGGGAGAUCGGAAUUCCUGGUGUAGCGGUGAAAUGCGCAGAUAUCAGGAGGAACCACCGGUGGCGAAGGCGGAUCUCUGGGCCGAUACUGACGCUGAGGAGCGAAAGCGUGGGGAGCGAACAGGAUUAGAUACCCUGGUAGUCCACGCCGUAAACGGUGGGCACUAGGUGUGGGCGACAUUCCACGUCGUCCGUGCCGCAGCUAACGCAUUAAGUGCCCCGCCUGGGGAGUACGGCCGCAAGGCUAAAACUCAAAGGAAUUGACGGGGGCCCGCACAAGCGGCGGAGCAUGUGGCUUAAUUUGACGCAACGCGAAGAACCUUACCAAGGCUUGACAUACACCGGAAACGUCCAGAGAUGGGCCGCCCCCCU
rnacentral:rRNA from 1 species